UUCUAAGCGUAAAUUGACAACUCUACCAGAGUACUAUGAAUUUUAUAUUUAAAACUCAAAAGACUUGGCGGUGCUUUAGACUCCUCAGGGGAACCUGUUUCGUAAUCGACAGUCCACGCAAAACCUUCCCUUCUUUUGGAAUCAGCAUGUAUACCGUCGUCGUCAGGCAACUUUUAAGAAUACUUGAAGUUGGCAACAGAGCUGUUAUAAGCUUUAACGUCAGAUCAAGGUGCAGCCUAUAAGAGGGUGAGAAUGGGUUACAAUUAAAAAUAAUAAUCACGGACAAAUAAUGUAAUUUUUUUAGAAGGAGGACUUGAAAGUAAAGAUACUAUAAUAUAAAUUUCCUGAAUUAAGCUCUGAAGCGUGC
rnacentral:rRNA from 1 species